UACUCCUACGGGAGGCAGCAGUGGGGAAUUUUGCGCAAUGGGCGAAAGCCUGACGCAGCAACGCCGCGUGAGUGAUGAAGGCUCUCGGGUCGUAAAGCUCUGUCGAGGGGAAAGAAAUGUAUUGUGGUUAAUACCCGCGAUACUUGACGGUACCCCUAAAGGAAGCACCGGCUAACUCCGUGCCAGCAGCCGCGGUAAUACGGGGGGUGCAAGCGUUGUUCGGAAUUAUUGGGCGUAAAGCGCGUGUAGGCGGUCUNAUUAGUCUGAUGUGAAAGCCCUGGGCUCAACCCAGGAAGUGCAUUGGAUACNGUCAGACUUGAAUACGGGAGAGGGUAGUGGAAUUCCUAGUGUAGGAGUGAAAUCCGUAGAUAUUAGGAGGAACACCGGUGGCGAAGGCGGCUACCUGGACCGAUAUCGACGCUGAGACGCGAAAGCGUGGGUAGCAAACAGGAUUAGAUACCCUGGUAGUCCCCGCCGUAAACGAUGAGUACUAGGUGUUGCGGGUAUUGACCCCUGCAGUGCCGCAGCUAACGCAUUAAGUACUCCGCCU
rnacentral:rRNA from 1 species